ensembl:rRNA 5S_rRNA 5S ribosomal RNA
GUCUGUGGCCUUACCACCCUGAACACGCUGAAUCUCGUUGAUCCUGGAAGCUAAGCAGGGUCAGGCCUGCAUGGGAGAUUAUGUGGUCCCUUGCCAGCUCCCAGAGUCUGAGGCU